GCACAUCAAUACCAUACAAUACACUUAACUGAAUAAAAGCCCAAAAGUCUGAGAAUGUUAGGAUUUUAAGAUUUUAUUGUAAUUGUGCCAGUUACAUCUUGGUACAGCUUUAAUUUACUCAGUUUAAGCCAUGGGCAACUACUGUGAAUCAUUGACUGACUGUUAUUGAAAUGGCAUUGCUUAACACCUUGAGUAACUGUCUCUUAGGUGAUGAAGCCAGGUAUAAAAGAAAUGUUCUUUCUCUACUCAUGAUGUGCUAAGAAAAGGACAGGAUUUGGUGGCCACCAAUAUGUGUCACUCUUGAGGUCAAUUUUCUGUUUAUGUUAGUGUGCAGGAACCUGUUCAGUGUUCCAGGUUAAGUACAUUUUAGAUCACGUUCUGAUCUAUUUUGUGUUCAGCAUGUCUUCAGUUUAUUCAGUGAAUUCACAUGCUUACUUGAAAGACCUGUAAUGUGGAGUACAGCCUUUUGAUUAAAAGGUGAUACAUCAGAUGUUAAAUCAGAUAUUUAAAUAAUAGUAUUAAAAUACCUAGAAGAUGAGUUCUGACAGUAGAAUUGGUUUAUGAGAUAUAGUUAUCAAAUUAUGUCAUUAAAUUGUCAUUAUAAUUGGGCAGUGCGUUUCAGUCUGAAUAAAUGUGUCAGCUAAGUGCUGUAAAUGUUAAAAUAUGAUGAAACAGAAAUUACAGAACUUCUGUAGAGGUUGAUCAAGACUAAGCAUAUGAAUGUACUUUCACAUUUUGCUAAUUGUGUACAGGCUGUGUUUUUAAGCCUGUUUAUAAAGAGUAUGCUGUUGCAGCAUUAACAGUUAACAGUUGUUAACAAUUAAUACUUUAUUUGUACUAGCAGUAAUUUCUGUAUGCUAUAUCUUAAAAUAACAGGAAGCUUGCAGAGAAUAUCAGUCCAGGGGAGUGGUCUGAAAUGAAUGGCUUUGAGUUGGAGGGGUUUCCAAGCCAAGACUUUGAGGUUGACUGUGGCAUCUACAUGUUGAUGUUAGACAUGCCGAAAUUGCGGAAAUGGUGGUGCCUGCUGCUAAUGGAAAACUUCGAUCUCUGAAGGUCAGUGUGUAUGUAUCUGUUUGAUUUCAUGUUUCAAUCAAAUUUAAGACACAUUAUCAAUAUCAGUAUUUCUCCAUUAUAAGUUAUGGGAAGGUAUUUGCACACUAGACAAAGGAAUCAGAGGCUGUGCUGAAAGGUGAACAUGCACCUGUAUUCAGACUAAGAAAGCGCAAAUCUGUGGAACUCAGUCUGGUCAGUGCACACUUUAAACCUUAGU